UCCCCCUCACGGUUGCACCUGGAGAGUUUCCAGUACUUUACCAGUCUCAGCUACAGGAGGGCAAGUCAAGCAGAGGCGUAUCCAUUCCAUUCCUAGCUUGGCCAAUGGCUAGCUAGUGGAAGGCAAUCUGCUACAAGU